rnacentral:rRNA from 1 species
CAACGUCCAAUGCAUGACCUCACGGGGGUGGGACGACCCGCUAGACUUAAGCAUAUUAAUCAGCGGAGGAAAAGAAACUAACAAGGAUUCCCCCAGUAACUGCGAGUGAAGAGGGAUUAGCUCAAUGUGUGAAUCAGGCUCGGAUUAGCUCCUUGCUUGAGUUGUGCACUAUAGACGGCGGAUCAGCGCUUGAAAGAUUGAGGUGGAUGUCCGAUGAAACUCGGUGCCAUAGCGGGUCAUAGUCCUGUACUUGUCUCACAUCUUUUGCGCAUUUGACCGACGCUCUGCGAGUCGCGUAGUUUUGUAUUGCUGCGCUAAUUGGGAGGUAGAGCCCUUCUAAAGCUAAAUAUGAUGACGUGACCGAUAGCAUACAAGUACCGCGAGGGAAAGGUGAAAAGCAACCAUGCAGAAUGGGUUGAAACAGCAGUGAAAGCGCUACUGGGAUAAGGGCUGGGGAUUGCUUGUGUCGCUUGCGCGUGCUUUAGUGCUGUGCCUGCGGACGGCACGCUUCACUUUGGAUGGGAAGAACAGGGCCUUGGGAAUUCGGCUGGAUCCGUCCAGUGUUGUAGCCCAG